CUUGAAGUUAGUUAAUUCCUUUAUGCGUUCCCUCCUCAAACAUUCGUCACAAUGACAUUUAAACAUUGGACGGAGGUCUGAUAAGGGAUCGCUGAAGGAAACUUCUUCAUGAUGUCAA
rnacentral:pre_miRNA from 10 species